rnacentral:SRP_RNA from 1 species
CCGUGCUAGACGGGGAGUUGGCGGUGCCCUGUAGCCCGAAAUCCGCCUUAUGCGGGGUUGAAUCCCCCUUUUAGAUCGACUGAUUCACAUGUCUCGUGGGACACGGAGCAUUGAAGGCCAGGUCCUACGCAGCGAUGGCCCAUGAACCCCGUCAGGACCGGGAGGUAGCAGCGGUAAGUGGUCACCCUCGCGUGCCGUAGUUAUACCUGACCGGAGCCACCAGCUCACGGGGGGUGUUGGAGAGGCGGGCGAGAAGGGGUGCACGG